rnacentral:rRNA from 1 species
AGAGUUUGAUCCUGGCUCAGGAUGAACGCUGGCGGCGUGCCUAAUACAUGCAAGUCGAGCGAACGGACGAGAAGCUUGCUUCUCUGAUGUUAGCGGCGGACGGGUGAGUAACACGUGGAUAACCUACCUAUAAGACUGGGAUAGCUUCGGGAAACCGGAGCUAAUACCGGAUAAUAUUUUGAACCGCAUGGUUCAAAAGUGAAAGACGGUCUUGCUGUCACUUAUAGAUGGAUCCGCGCUGCAUUAGCUAGUUGGUAAGGUAACGGCUUACCAAGGCAACGAUGCAUAGCCGACCUGAGAGGGUGAUCGGCCACACUGGAACUGAGACACGGUCCAGACUCCUACGGGAGGCAGCAGUAGGGAAUCUUCCGCAAUGGGCGAAAGCCUGACGGAGCAACGCCGCGUGAGUGAUGAAGGUCUUCGGAUCGUAAAACUCUGUUAUUAGGGAAGAACAUAUGUGUAAGUAACUGUGCACAUCUUGACGGUACCUAAUCAGAAAGCCACGGCUAACUACGUGCCAGCAGCCGCGGUAAUACGUAGGUGGCAAGCGUUAUCCGGAAUUAUUGGGCGUAAAGCGCGCGUAGGCGGUUUUUUAAGUCUGAUGUGAAAGCCCACGGCUCAACCGUGGAGGGUCAUUGGAAACUGGAAAACUUGAGUGCAGAAGAGGAAAGUGGAAUUCCAUGUGUAGCGGUGAAAUGCGCAGAGAUAUGGAGGAACACCAGUGGCGAAGGCGACUUUCUGGUCUGUAACUGACGCUGAUGUGCGAAAGCGUGGGGAUCAAACAGGAUUAGAUACCCUGGUAGUCCACGCCGUAAACGAUGAGUGCUAAGUGUUAGGGGGUUUCCGCCCCUUAGUGCUGCAGCUAACGCAUUAAGCACUCCGCCUGGGGAGUACGACCGCAAGGUUGAAACUCAAAGGAAUUGACGGGGACCCGCACAAGCGGUGGAGCAUGUGGUUUAAUUCGAAGCAACGCGAAGAACCUUACCAAAUCUUGACAUCCUUUGACAACUCUAGAGAUAGAGCCUUCCUCUUCGGGGGACAAAGUGACAGGUGGUGCAUGGUUGUCGUCAGCUCGUGUCGUGAGAUGUUGGGUUAAGUCCCGCAACGAGCGCAACCCUUAAGCU